rnacentral:lncRNA from 1 species
UUAUGGCAAAGGUUUGGUAAUUACAGUAGAAAAUUUUGAGGCAUCCGAGGAGAUUAAAGAGAUAUCUUAUUUCAAUCAAGCAUUAACUAAUCUCUUAAAACGAUUAUGUUAUGUGAAAUUUUUUAUUAUGACUGUGUUGUAUAAUUUCUCAUUAUUAUUUUUGCUUUUACAUGAGAGCUGAUGGUUUCAGAUUGAGGGAUACAAUUCAAAUUGGGUACAGGGAUAUAGAAAUGACGCAAGAAAGAGGAAGAAUAGCAGGAAAAUGAAUGGGCAUAUGAGAGAAGGAGAAUAACAAAGAGAAUGGAUGGUUUCAGAUUGAGGGAUACAAUUCAAAUUGGGGACAGGGAUAUAGAAAUGACGCAGGAAAGAGGAAGAAUAGCGGUAAAAUGAAUAGGCAUAUGAGAGAAGGAGAAUAACAAAAAGAAUGGAUGGGCAUAUGAAAGAGAAAAUGAGAGGAAUUUUUUUAUAAGAGAUACGCGUAGUUACAUUAUCCAUUAAGAAUGUAAUCGAUUUUAG